UCCGAUAGCUCGACUCCCUCAACUGGAGACACUGUGUCUGGGCUCGAGCCCUCCGUAUUGUAAGGCCCAUUUUUGGGGGGCCUCACACGGGAGCGUUCCCCACACAUCUCCUUCAGGUUCU